rnacentral:rRNA from 1 species
UACGUAGGAGACGAGCGUUGUCCGGAGUUACUGGGCGUAAAGGGUGCGCAGGUGGCGGCGCGCGUGGGGGGUGAAAUCGCCCGGCUUAACUGGGCGGGGGCCUUCCAGACGGCGUGGCUUGAGCAGCGGAGGGGGACGUGGAAUUCCGGGUGGAGCGGUGAAAUGCGUAGAUAUCUGGAGGAACACCGGUGGCGAAGGCGGCAUCCUGGACCGACACUGACGCUGAGGAGCGAAAGCCAGGGGAGCAAACGGG